GGAUAUGACCAAAGACAUUUCUUCCCCUCAGUAAACCUCGUUCUCCCCACUAUUUAGUGCCUCUUCAGUUUUCUGAAGUUCUUUGAUUCAAAAAUGUCACACUCCUCCAUUUCUCACCACCACCAAAUCUUUGCAUUCAACCAUCUCCGCCACCACCAAUCUCCUACUCCGUUACUACUACUCCGUCCCAAAACCAAUACUUAUUUUGCGGCAAAAAUAACUGCAAAUUUUGCAGGGAAAUCCAAAUCAAAUCUUAGUGCAGUUGCCCCAAUAUCGAAUCAUUCUUCUUCAUCAUUAACCUCUACUGCCCCCAUCACAUUAAGAGGUCUAGGGUUACAACCUACACCCAAAUUAGGGUUAUUUUCCAUUCUCUUUGUUCUCUCUAUGGUAUUUGGAUCAUUUCUUUCGUUAAUUAUUGUAUCAAUUCCAGCUCUCCCUAGUUUGAGGAGAUUGGGUAUUUCAAUGGAAAAACUAUCCAAAGUGGUUUCUGAAGAAGUACCUGGGACAUUGUCGUCGCUCAAACUAUCUGGUUUGGAGAUUACUGAGUUAACUCAACAACUUGGGGGUAUCAAGUAGGCAAAAGAUAUUUGGUAAUCAAAAUGGAGGGAAGGGUGGAGGAAAGAGGAGGAACCAACGGAAUGCCGAGGGAGGGAGGGAGAAUUGUGGUGUCAGUUCAUGAUAGGCAACUCCAAGUUGAUUGAGAAAUGAGACUGAAAAAAACCAGAGUAGAAAAGAAGGCGGUGAACCUGAAUAGUUCUUCCAAGACUGAUAGGAGAAGCUUGAGCAAAGACAAGGUCACCAAGAACAGCUUGUUUGAGAUGAUUGAUGGUCAAUUGGAUACCAGCUACUCUUCUGUAACCAGAUGCCAUAUGAGCUCCCAUACUCGCUAUCCCUUCAGCUAUCAUCGCUGAUACUCCUCCAUGUAACACCUUAGGCUGUUUUUAUAUCCAGAUAAUAGCUUAGUAUGAUAUCUAUGAAUCAGAAUUGAAUAUCUUGUUUGAUUCUAAAGUUUGUGCUUAUAUUUUUACCUGACAACACUUUGCUGUAACCUGUAACCGGCCACUGACUUUCUCUGGUGACACUUCAUCAAUCACGAAACCGAUAGCAUUCAGUGG